rnacentral:rRNA from 1 species
CUUGUGAAUGAUGUGUAUCUGGAUGCACUCUCUGAAGAUACUAUUGUGUGGAAGCAUACGACAAGCAGGCACUACACUGCGGCCUCCGCCUACAAGGCCCAAUUCCUUGGCUUGGUUCUCUCUCCCAUCGACCAAAUGAUUUGGAAAACUUGGACGCCACCAAAGGCUAAAUUCUUCGCUUAG